GUCCCAGCGAGUACUUGGCCAGGAGCACAUGUCGCUUAAAAAAAGCACAUAACCCUUUAGACCCAACAGUCAAUUAAGGCCUUGGUAGAAAUGUCAACCAUUGAGCCACCAUGAAGAGAGUGAAAACACCGUAGAAGAGUUCAGUCCUGAAGUGGGCAGAAAGAGGCUGAACUUGAAAAACUCAUACCCCCGGGGCCUCCAGUGUUUUUUGAUACAACAAGCUUCAGUACCACCCACAAGCUUGUGUAAACUCACAAGGGGCCACAGCUUUUGACAGACUUUAUGAAGACCAGGUCAACUGGUUCAGACAGCCUCUUUUUCUCUCAAGCUCCGAGAUGAGUUACCUGCCUUCUGUCACAUGUCUUCUGUCUCCUUUUUGCCAUUAGCUACUUCUAGUUGGGAGAAAAUUUUCCCCAGUCCUGGAGCUGUCAGCUAAAUAAUUCUUGACUCCUCUAUUCCUACCACAUAAGUGAAAUCAAGGAAUCACAGUGUCAUUCAACACUAGAGUCAUUCAAAUUACAAGGGUUGAAGAAUGGUUUCCUUAUAGCUAGCCUCCAUGAUUUAUUCCAUAUUCCUCCCAUUUAAGUCCAUGCUAUAUACCAGAAAGAUUUUCCUAAAAUGAAACAUUUCCUAUUUUUUCAAUUUCCUCUUCUAUUUUAAAUCUUGGUUCCUCAUUACUUAUAUCAAUAAAUAAUGUGAUUCCAAAUACAGCAUACCCUCCAAAAAAUCAUGAAAUACCCUUAUCCUUCAAUAUACUAGACUUGCUCUUUCUAAAACAUCUCCUGAAGAAGGUCUGCUGAAUUGGGGCUCUUUUUCUUAAACAACUUCAACUCACUUUUGCAGGCAAAGAUGGAACUAAAAAAUUGCCAACUGGUAUGAGAAGAACCUGAUUUUGAGGAGAAGGGGAAAAAGACAAAAGGAGAGAAGAACCAUGGAAAUGGAGAAGAGGAGAGAAGGCAAGAUUUCUCUGAUAGUUACAACAAUAGCCUUGCAGGUGCCCAAUACCUACAAGGAUAACGGGGGACAGGGAUAAGAGGGAUAAGGCAGAAUGGUCACUCACAGGGCCAGCUUCCUGGACAUGUGAUCUGUGCAGUUGCAUUGGGUCCCACACUCAGAAGGGCCUUGCACUUGGUUUAAUGUUCUUCUGUCAGCGUCUUGAAAUUCUUGAUAAUUUUACUUUUGACCUUGUGUUUUACAAUAAUGCUCUAUAUGUGUGUCCACUGUUCCUUGCCACCCUGUAAGCACAGAAUUCUGGUGGACUCACAAUGUGUGGGAGUUCAUUGAGACUUUGAGUACAAGCUAAAUGUGUCAUGUCUACACCUGAGUGAGCAGGGUGCUGACAACUCCAAGAGGCCAUGCUUUUCUUGGAAACUAGAACAUGCUUUGAAUGCAGAAAGAAAGCAUUGAUGCUCUAAGAAACACAACUACCAAAGGACCCUCUCAUGUCUUUUCUUACUGAUGUUACUUCCCUGAAUUAGCCAACCACUUUUUGCUGGAAAUGAUGACAUAGAAGCAAAGGGAGAAAUGGGGCAACUCAUAGAUCCCUUUCCUUUUAGACUUUCUAUAAGCUAAAGAUAGAGACUGUUGAUAAGCCUAAAUGUCCAUGGAUGGAUGGAUAAAGAAGAUAUGGUGGAUAUAUAUACAAUGGAAUACUACUCGGCCA